rnacentral:rRNA from 1 species
AGAAGCGGGGAUACAACCAUAAGACGAGAAGACCCUGUGGAGCUUUAGACAACAGGGCAGACCAUGUCAAUAUAAUCUAAUUAAAGAACAAAACCAAUUGGACCCUGCCCCCAUGUCUUUGGUUGGGGCGACCGCGGGGGAACAAAAAGCCCCCAUGUGGAGUGAGAGUACUUCUCCCACAACCAAGAGCGACAGCUCUAAGUAACAGAAUUUCUGACCAUCAAGAUCCGGCCAAGCCGAUCAACGAAACGAGUUACCCCAGGGAUAACAGCGCAAUCCUCUUUUAGAGCCCAUAUCGACAAGAGGGUUUACGACCUCGAUGUUGGAUCAGGACAUCCUAAUGGUGCAGCCGCUAUUAAGGGUUCGUUUGUUCAACGAUUAA